AUGAACGCUGGCGGCGUGCCUAAUACAUGCAAGUCGAGCGAACAGACGAGGAGCUUGCUCCUCUGACGUUAGCGGCGGACGGGUGAGUAACACGUGGAUAACCUACCUAUAAGACUGGGAUAACCUCGGGAAACCGGAGCUAAUACCGGAUAAUAUAUUGAACCGCAUGGUUCAAUAGUGAAAGACGGUUUUGCUGUCACUUAUAGAUGGAUCCGCGCCGCAUUAGCUAGUUGGUAAGGUAACGGCUUACCAAGGCAACGAUGCGUAGCCGACCUGAGAGGGUGAUCGGCCACACUGGAACUGAGACACGGUCCAGACUCCUACGGGAGGCAGCAGUAGGGAAUCUUCCGCAAUGGGCGAAAGCCUGACGGAGCAACGCCGCGUGAGUGAUGAAGGUCUUCGGAUCGUAAAACUCUGUUAUUAGGGAAGAACAAAUGUGUAAGUAACUAUGCACGUCUUGACGGUACCUAAUCAGAAAGCCACGGCUAACUACGUG
rnacentral:rRNA from 1 species